rnacentral:tRNA from 1 species
CAGUAUAUAGUUUAUUAUAAAAUGUAGUGUUUGGGUUGCUGAGAUUUGUUACUGA